ensembl:lncRNA
ACUGAACACUCAGUGAACACUCGCGGGCUGAAUGGAUACAGCAACACCUGAACCUGAGCUCUCCUCCUCCUCCUCCUCCCCCGUGCUCUAACUUAGCAAGUGCGGACCACAGCCCUCUCCGACCGGAAGCAGGUGUUGGCACGGACUCGUCCUCCUCCACCCAAGCCAGUCACUGCACCUUGCUGAUUCCCAUCCUGCACUUGGGCACGCGUGUUUCUGUGCUCCUGUGUCCUUUCUGUCUCUAGUCAUCCCCGUGGCGGAGUGUCCCACACUUCAGCCAGAUGGAGCCACGCAUGAGGAACUGCAAAGCCCUCCUCCGUGAGACACCCGCAGCUGCCCACACCACCCUCACCUCUCCCUGCUCGUUCCUCGCCCCUUUCCCUUGCAACCCAAACCAGGUCGUCCUCAGCCACCACAUGGUGUGACUCAUUGGUGCUCAGUAGGCGUAAAGCUGAUCACCGGGCAGCCGGGAAACGAGCCCACUGUGUGCCCAUCCCUGAGUGAGGCCGGGCCGGUAAAAGAAGUCACGAGGCAAGUGCGGUGCUUCCCCUUCCAGUGGAGCCUCUUGCGGCGAACCUGGGUCCACUCGCCAACACUGGGCCAGAACGGUGGGCUGUAAAGCACCCGCCCUUGCCAGCACAGGGCAGUAGGGGCACCAGGGGCUUGGACACGACAGGACGUGGACCCCCUACAAGCAGCUCCAUGGACAAACGGGGUUCCGCAAAGCUGGAAAGCACAGGCAGGAGGGGAAGGCUGGCGCCAGCUGCCUGUCUAGAGAGCUGCUUUCUCGUGCAGCAGCAGCUACUGCCCACCACACCACGCAAUCACCCCUCACCGCGGCCAGGCAGCUCAGCGGUCUCCGCCAUGAAGCCCGGAGGGAGCCCAGGCGCACCCCGCUCAGGACCGGGAGCCAGGAGGUGCUGGUGGCCGGGGAGGAGGAGCGCCCUCCUGUGUUGGAGAACAACGCAAUUACCCAUCAGCAGGCGCUUUGCAUCAGGGAAGACUGAUUUAUCCCUCUGCUGUGUUGUUGCCACAGAAGCAGGGCUUAGCCUUUCAAGUGAUGAUUAUAAAGCUACCCAAUUCAUUUAAAAUUAGGCUACGAGCAUCUCGGUACUUAAUGCCCAAUGUCUCCGUCGGAGCUCCUGCAGCCAUCGAUCUGCCUGUGGCGGCGGAAGACUUGUCUGGCAGCAAUCUAGUUUGCUUUAUUUUAAAACAUUAACUUCAUAAGGAGGUAUAACUGUGAAAGAUCACGAGCAUAUUAAUAAAUACCUUUUAAUUAAUGAACAGCACUGACUUUGUCAACACAGGAACGCUGGGGCAGGCAAGACACACACACAUUCCAUUAAACUAAUUUAUUGUGUUCUUCCAGGACGGAUGUAAAGAGCAUCUUGGGAGUUGAUAUCACAACACAACGUUAUACACCAUUUCACCACUAACCUUGCGCUGAAUUCUUUUUAAAAGAACAUAGUAAUUUUUAAAAAUCUAAAUAUUUACAUAUUAAUAAAACAUAUAUACAGAAGAUUGAGAUGUUAUCCAUAGAUAUGGAAUUUUAUUUUUGCUAAGAAAGCCUAUAAAAAGGAUUUCUGAACAAAGUCUGAACAGUAGUCACAGUAAGUUAACACAAAUAUAAUUUGAAUUUACAAAGUAUGAUUUUAUGGUUGCAGUUUUGCUAUGCAUUUCCAAUUAGGGAAUCCAUUGCACACAUCGAGAGUUGAACAGCCCCUACCCCUGCUCAAGCGCUGAAAACUCCAAGCCACACCCAGCCUCGAC